GAGUAAACAAAUCUGCCAUUCUGUACCCACGACUACUCUUUCCCUCUCCCCUCUCGCCUCCGCCUUCCCUCCGACUUUUCCCUCGCCGAAAAACCAAUUCCAUGCUCCAGCAGCACGCAACCUCCAAUUCUCCAUUAUAGUAUUGCUGUUCCAGCCGCCUCCAUGGAAUCCGCGGCCGUCUGCAGAUCCUUCACCAGCCGCCUUUUAGGUCCGCCUCGCCUCCCGCAGCCGGGAAUGCUUGGUCUCGGGCGCGUCUGGCCGCCUGCGCCGAGGGUUUGAGUUAUUGCAUGUGGUGGCACCAAGCAUGAGGCGACAACUGCAUUACUUGCAAGGAAGUUACAAGUUGGAUAUCAUAGUUCUGUGUCAAAUAUUGCGAAACUGAAUCAAGAACGAAGUGGUGAAACCUGACCAUAAAUUCCUUACAUACAACCAGAAUACACUAAGGGAUCACUAAGAACUCCGGAACCUGUAAGAACUCUUAGAUCCUUGCCCUAUACAAGAAUCUAGGUCUGAACAGUACCCUAGUGUCUAAUCCUGUCGAACACUCCAAUUGCUUACACCUUUUACUUUGGGUGAGAUCCUGACGCCUUGUGGUUUCCUUGU